GGAUGUGAAAGCUCCCGGCUUAACUGGGAGAGGUCAUUCAAUACUGUUAGACUAGAGAAUGGGAGAGGGAGGUGGAAUUCUGGGUGUAGUGGUGAAAUGCGUAGAUAUCCAGAGGAACACCAGUGGCGAAAGCGGCCUCCUAGACCAUUUCUGACGCUAAGACGCGAAAGCUAGGGUAGCAAACGGGAUUAGAGACCCCGGUAGUCCUAGCUGUAAACGAUGUAGACUUGGCGUUGGCGGAGUUAAAUCCGUCAGUGCCGUAGCUAACGCGAUAAGUCUACCGCCUGGGGACUACGAUCGCAAGAUUAAAACUCAAAGGAAUUGACGGGGACCCGCACAAGCAGCGGAGCGUGUGGUUUAAUUCAAUGCUACACGAAGAACCUUACCAGGGUUUGACAUGUAAGUGGUAGUGAUCCGAAAGGUGAACGACCCCUCGGGGAGCUUACACAGGUGCUGCAUGGCUGUCGUCAGCUCGUGUCGUGAGAUGUUCGGUUAAGUCCGCUAACGAGCGCAACCCUCACUGUGUGUUACAAGUGUCACACGGGACUGCCGGUUUAAGCCGGAGGAAGGCGAGGAUGACGUCAAGUCAGCAUGGCCUUUAUGUCCUGGGCUACACACACGCUACAAUGGUCGGUACAAUAGGUUGCCAAGCCGCAAGGCGGAGCCAAUCCCUAAAGCCGGCCUCAGUUCAGAUUGCAGGCAGCAACUCGCCUGCAUGAAGCUGGAGUUGCUAGUAACCGCAGGUCAGCUAUACUGCGGUGAAUACGUUC
rnacentral:rRNA from 1 species